AACGAACGCUGGCGGCAUGCCUAACACAUGCAAGUCGAACGGGAUCCUAGCUUGCUAGGUGAGAGUGGCGGACGGGUGAGUAACACGUGGGAAUCUGCCUUUUGGUUCGGGAUAACCGCGGGAAACUGCGGCUAAUACCGAAUGCCCUCGAGAGAGGAAAGAUUUAUCGCCAGAAGAGGAGCCCGCGUCCGAUUAGGUAGUUGGUGGGGUAAAGGCCUACCAAGCCGACGAUCGGUAGCUGGUCUGAGAGGAUGAUCAGCCACACUGGGACUGAGAUACGGCCCAGACUCCUACGGGAGGCAGCAGUGGGGAAUAUUGGACAAUGGGGGCAACCCUGAUCCAGCAAUGCCGCGUGAGUGAUGAAGGCCUUAGGGCUGUAGAGCUCUUUUGCCAGGGAAGAUGAUGACUGUACCUGGAGAAUAAGCCCCGGCUAACUUCGUGCCAGCAGCCGCGGUAAU
rnacentral:rRNA from 1 species